rnacentral:rRNA from 1 species
GACGAACGCUGGCGGUGGGCUUAACACAUGCAAGUCGAACGGAAAGGCCCUGCUUUUGUGGGGUGCUCGAGUGGCGAACGGGGGAGUAACACGUGAGUAACCUGCCCUUGACUUUGGGAUAACUUCAGGAAACUGGGGCUAAUACCGGAUAGGAGCUCCUGCUGCAGGGUGGGGGUUGGAAAGUUUCGGCGGGUGGGGAUGGACUCGCGGCUGAUCAGCUUGUUGGUGGGGGAGUGGCUUACCAAGGGUUUGACGGGUAGCCGGCAUGAGAGGGUGACCGGCCACCAUGGGACUGAGAUACGGCCCAGACUCCUACGGGAGACAGCAGUCGGAAAUAUUGCACAAUGGGAGGAAGCCUGUUGCAGAAACCCCGGGUGCGGGAUGACGGCUUUCGGGGUGUAAACCGCUUUAGCCUGUGACGAAGCGUGAGUGACGGUACUCAGUAAAGAAGCACCGGCUAACUACGUG